CUAUACAGUUCACAGCAACACAAAACUGAGGACUCUCAAGUACCACAUGCCUGACUGUGCAGUGUCAUUGACAUCAUUUGGGAAGAAGUAUUAUGUUGGUGCCAAGAUUGAAGAUAAUAUAUUGAUUGGGAAGAGACUAAAGUUUGUAAUGAAUGCUGGCCAAAUGAGGGGUCCUGGACAAGUGGCAUAUGGUGGGACUUUUGAAGCAACAUUAAGAGGGCGAGACUACCCUGUGAGGAAUGAUAUUAUCAGUGUAUCAAUGACCGCUCUAUCUUUUAAGAAGGAGAUGGUGUUGGGUGGAGGUUUUCAGUCUGAGUUUCGGCCAGCACGAGGCAUGAGAAUGGCAGUUAAUGCCAAUUUAAAUAGCCAGAAAAUGGGGAAAGUUAGCAUAAAGAUGAGUAGCUCUGAGCACAUUGAAAUUGCACUAGUAGCCAUUUUCUCAAUUUUCAGGGCCAUUUUGUGUAGGAAAGAGGCUGAAAAUGGAAGAAAAGAGGCAUUGGAGAUGUGAUGAAUCUGUGUUGGCCCUUUUGCUGAUAGAUUUUCUUAGUUUGGAGAGGAAAUAAUAACCAGAAAGCAUUUUAUAGUCAGAACAAGGUUUUAGAACGUUGAAAAGAGUUUGGUGUUUCAGAGGUUGUCCGUUUUCUUUUUGCCCCAUAAUUUACUGAACAUGUACCUAUUCUAGAGGAGGUUAGAUAUGCUUUAUUAUUAUUUUUUUAAUGUAUACUUGGAGGAGGCUAGAUAGUGAGACUUUUUCCGUUUAAACUUGUGAAAUGGACAUGUCCGGUUGAUUUGGCUUGUCUGGGGCCUGUGGGCACAUAGCUCUGUAACAAGCAAUAGCUGUUAUAAUUGUACAGGAGCACAAAGAAAAUCAGUUCUAUGAUUCCUGGAAUAAACAUUCUUCAUCUAUGUUCUAACAUAUGACUGUUCUUCCCCACUUACCUUCGUAUCAGCACACUGCGUUAUGAUGAUGUCAAGGCGUUCUUUAAACAAAAUGGAAUGGCAGAACCGUGGAAAUUAAGAGAAGUUUAUGCCACGCCUUGUUCGAGCUGGAGGAGGCUCCAUUGGUGCUGCAAAUUUGCACAGGUACGAACUUCACAGCUUCUGAUUUAACCUUGUGGCAUGUAAGUUGAUUCUUUGAAUUAUGCUUAUGAAACAUGACAUGCUGUGUGAAAAAAGAUAGGUGAAAACUUGGAUUAAAUUAAUGCUUUAAUGAUUGUCUGGGGAGGUAAUGAAUUAAUUAGGUGUAUCAAAAAGGGACACGAGCACUUUCUCUUAGUGGGUUGAUUCGGAGUGAACAGAAUUAAUUCUGAUUCAUUGAGGUAAAGAGCAGAAAAAUAAAAAAAUAAAAACGAAGUCAAAAAUAAAAUGAUUGAUGGUGGGCUACUCCAUUUAUUAGAAGGUGUAGUUGAUAUCUCUACUUAUAGGACUUUAGCCUCACCAAAAACUGAAUUGAUGUGGACUCGCUCCCUUCAAUUGUGCUGUGUGUCAAUUAGAGUUACUGUCCAGAGAGACAGAUCCUCACUUUAGUCUAAUGAAGUCGGUGAGCACAUCCACAUCAAUGUCCCAAGUCACCACAAUUUAGGUGUAGUUGCAAAUCUUUCGGAAUCCCUUUGAUAAAAUUCAAUUUGGUAUCAAUGAAUUAGCUUUUCCUUAGUCAGGGAUGGAGCUAGAAAAUUAAGUUAAUGAGGUAAAACAAAAAAAUUGUUUUAUUCAAUUAAGAGAAAAUGAAAGUAUUUUAUAUAAUAAUAAAUUAUUUAUUAAAAAACAUAAUGCAUGUAAACUUUAAUGGGUUGCAAUAAUUGAGUGGA
rnacentral:misc_RNA from 1 species